rnacentral:rRNA from 1 species
GGGCUUACGCUGCAGCGUAGAGAAAGGCUCGGCCCCGCGUAAGUGUUAGCACGGGUGAGUAACACGUGGGUAACCUGCCCUCGAGCGGGGGAUAACAUUCCGAAAGGAGUGCUAAUACCGCAUAAGACCACGAUCUCGAAAGAGAACGAGGUAAAAGCUGGCCUCUAUACAUAAGCUAGCACUUGAGGAUGGGCCCGCGGCGCAUCACGGUAGUUGGUGAGGUAAUGGCUCACCAAGCCUAAGACGCGUAGCUGGUCUGAGAGGAUGAUCAGCCACACUGGAACUGAGACACGGUCCAGACUCCUACGGGAGGCAGCAGUGGGGAAUCUUGCGCAAUGGGCGAAAGCCUGACGCAGCGACGCCGCGUGAGUGAUGAAGGCCUUCGGGUUGUAAAGCUCUGUGGGGCGAGACGAAUAAGUGCAGCCUAAUACGUUGCAUGAUGACGGUAUCGCCUUAGCAAGCACCGGCUAACUCUGUGCCAGCAGCCGCGGUAAGACAGAGGGUGCAAACGUUGUUCGGAAUUACUGGGCGUAAAGCGAGUGUAGGCGGUCUCUUAAGUCGGGUGUGACAGCCCGGGCUCAACCCGGGAAGUGCACUCGAAACUGCGAGGCUAGAGUAUCGGAGAGGUUGGUGGAAUUCUCGGUGUAGAGGUGAAAUUCGUAGAUAUCGAGAGGAACACCGGUGGCGAAGGCGGCCAACUGGACGAAUACUGACGCUGAGACUCGAAAGCGUGGGGAGCAAAACAGGAUUAGAUACCCUGGUAGUCACACGCAGUAAACGAUGGGUGCUAGGUGUCGCGGGCUUUGACUCCCGCGGUGCCGUAGCUUACGCAUUAAGCACCCCGCCUGGGAAGUACGGCCGCAAGGCUAAAACUCAAAGGAAUUGACGGGGCCCGCACAAGCGUGGAGCAUGUGUUAAUUCGACGCAACGCGAGAACAUACAUGGCUAGAAAGCAGAACUGGAGAUCUCGGGUUACNCAAGCUUAUAGUCACUUAGCGUGCUUUAGUAUUAUUCUUUUGUUUUCUUCUUUGUUUCUGUUUCUU